rfam:Trichobilharzia regenti genome assembly, scaffold: TRE_scaffold0001516
GUACUAAUGAAGUGUCCCAAAAAAGGACUAAACGGCUGUCCAGUAC